ensembl:snoRNA predicted gene, 24455
ACUGAGGUCUAUCCCGAUGGGGCUUUUCCAGUAGCCACACAUCGUUGGAAACGCCUCAUACAGUAACACUUGUGGUUUGCUUGAUGCACAGGACUGUUUAGACCCGUGGGAAGGAACUACAAGACAGUU